AAUGGGUCAGCGACUUAUAUUCUGUAGCAAGGUUAACCGAAUAGGGGAGCCGAAGGGAAACCGAGUCUUAACUGGGCGUUAAGUUGCAGGGUAUAGACCCGAAACCCGGUGAUCUAGCCAUGGGCAGGUUGAAGGUUGGGUAACACUAACUGGAGGACCGAACCGACUAAUGUUGAAAAAUUAGCGGAUGACUUGUGGCUGGGGGUGAAAGGCCAAUCAAACCGGGAGAUAGCUGGUUCUCCCCGAAAGCUAUUUAGGUAGCGCCUCGUGAAUUCAUCUCCGGGGGUAGAGCACUGUUUCGGCAAGGGGGUCAUCCCGACUUACCAACCCGAUGCAAACUGCGAAUACCGGAGAAUGUUAUCACGGGAGACACACGGCGGGUGCUAACGUCCGUCGUGAAGAGGGAAACAACCCAGACCGCCAGCUAAGGUCCCAAAGUCAUGGUUAAGUGGGAAACGAUGUGGGAAGGCCCAGACAGCCAGGAUGUUGGCUUAGAAGCAGCCAUCAUUUAAAGAAAGCGUAAUAGCUCACUGGUCGAGUCGGCCUGCGCGGAAGAUGUAACGGGGCUAAACCAUGCACCGAAGCUGCGGCAGCGACGCUUAUGCGUUGUUGGGUAGGGGAGCGUUCUGUAAGCCUGUGAAGGUGUACUGUGAGGUAUGCUGGAGGUAUCAGAAGUGCGAAUGCUGACAUAAGUAACGAUAAAGCGGGUGAAAAGCCCGCUCGCCGGAAGACCAAGGGUUCCUGUCCAACGUUAAUCGGGGCAGGGUGAGUCGACCCCUAAGGCGAGGCCGAAAGGCGUAGUCGAUGGGAAACAGGUUAAUAUUCCUGUACUUGGUGUUACUGCGAAGGGGGGACGGAGAAGGCUAUGUUGGCCGGGCGACGGUUGUCCCGGUUUAAGCGUGUAGGCUGGUUUUCCAGGCAAAUCCGGAAAAUCAAGGCUGAGGCGUGAUGACGAGGCACUACGGUGCUGAAGCAACAAAUGCCCUGCUUCCAGGAAAAGCCUCUAAGCAUCAGGUAACAUCAAAUCGUACCCCAAACCGACACAGGUGGUCAGGUAGAGAAUACCAAGGCGCUUGAGAGAACUCGGGUGAAGGAACUAGGCAAAAUGGUGCCGUAACUUCGGGAGAAGGCACGCUGAUAUGUAGGUGAAGUCCCUCGCGG
rnacentral:rRNA from 1 species